GAUGAACGCUGGCGGCGUGCCUAAUACAUGCAAGUCGAGCGAACAGAUGAGGAGCUUGCUCCUCUGACGUUAGCGGCGGACGGGUGAGAAACACGUGGAUACCCCACCUAUAAGACUGGUAUAACCUCGGGAAACCGGAGCAAAUACCGGAUAAUAUAUUGAACCGCAUGGUUCAAUAGUAAAAGUCGGUUUUGCUGUAACUUAUAGCUGGAUCCGCGCCGCAUUAGCUAGUUGGUAAGGUAACGGCCUACCAAGGCUACGAUGCGUAGCCGACCUGAGAGGGUGAUCGGCGGCACUGGAACUGAGACACGGACCAGACGACUACGAGAGGCAGCAGUAGGGAAUCGUCCGCAGUGGGCGGAAACCUGACGGAGCGGCGCCGAGUGAGUGAUGAAAGUGUUCGGAUCGUGAAGCUCUGUUAUGAGGGAAGAACAAAUGUGUAAGGAAAUAAAGACGUAGUGACGGUACCUGGUCAGGAAGCCACGGCUAACUACGUG
rnacentral:rRNA from 1 species